GAUGAAGAACGUAGCGAAAUGCGAUAAGUAAUGUGAAUUGCAGAAUUCAGUGAAUCAUCAAAUCUUUGAACGCACCUUGCGCUCCUUGGUAUUCCGAGGAGCAUGCCUGUUUGAGUGUCAUUAAAUUCUCAACCAUUAUCAACUUUUGCUGAUAAUGGCUUGGAUGUGGGGGUCUAUUUUGCUGGCUUCUCAGAUAGUCAGCUCCCCUUAAAUGCAUUAGCCGGUGCCCCGCGUGGACUGUCUAUUGGUGUGAUAAUUAUCUACGCUAUAGACAUCUGCAAUCAUAUGGGUUUGCGCUGCUUCUAACAGUCUGUUGAUUCAGACAAUACAUGACAAUUUGACCUCAAAUCAGGUAGGACUACCCGCUGAACUUAAGCAUAUCAAUAAGCGGAGGA
rnacentral:misc_RNA from 1 species